rnacentral:rRNA from 1 species
CACGGAGUUAGCCGGAGCUUAUUCUCCCGGUACUGUCAUUAUCAUCCCGGGUAAAAGAGCUUUACAACCCUAAGGCCUUCAUCACUCACGCGGCAUUGCUGGAUCAGGCUUUCGCCCAUUGUCCAAUAUUCCCCACUGCUGCCUCCCGUAGGAGUCUGAGCCGUGUCUCAGUCCCAGUGUGGCUGAUCAUCCUCUCAGACCAGCUAAGGAUCGUCGGCUUGGUGCGCCUUUACCACACCAACUACCUAAUCCUACGCGGGCUCAUCCCUCGGCGAUAAAUCUUUGGACUUACGUCAUCAUCCGGUGUUAGCAGUCGUUUCCAACUGUUAUUCCGAACCAAGGGGCAGAUUCCCACGCGUUACGCACCCGUGCGCCACUAAGGCCGAAGCCUUCGUUCGACUUGCAUGUGUUAGGCAUGCCGCCAGCGUUCAUUCUGAGCCAGGAUCAAACUCU